GAUGAACGCUGGCGGCGUGCCUAAUACAUGCAAGUCGAGCGAACGGACGAGAAGCUUGCUUUUCUGAUGUUAGCGGCGGACGGGUGAGUAACACGUGGAUAACCUACCUAUAAGACUGGGAUAACUUCGGGAAACCGGAGUUAAUACCGGAUAAUAUUCUGAACCGCACGGUUCAAAAGUGAAAGACGGUCUUGCUGUCACUUAUAGAUGGAUUCGCGCGGGAUUAGCUAGUUGGUAAGGUAAUGGCUUACCAAGGCAACGAUGCAUAGCCGACCUGAGAGGGUGGUCGGCCACACUGGAACGGAGACACGGUCCAGACUCCUACGGGAGGCAGCAGUAGGGGAUCUUCCGCAAUAGGCGAAAGCCUGACGGAGGAACGCCGGGUGAGUGAUGGAGGGCUUCGGAUCGUAAAAGACUGUUAUUAGGGAAGAACAUAGGUGUAAGUAGCUGGGCACAUCGUGACGGUAACUAAGCAGAAAGCCGCGGCUAACUUAGUGC
rnacentral:rRNA from 1 species